CAGUCGCCGCGGGAAUACAGAGGGUGCGAGCGUUAAUCGGAUUUACUGGGCGUAAAGCGUGCGUAGGCGGCUUUUUAAGUCGGAUGUGAAAUCCCUGAGCUUAACUUAGGAAUUGCAUUCGAUACUGGGAAGCUAGAGUAUGGGGGAGGAUGGUAGAAUUCCAGGUGUAGCGGUGAAAUGCGUAGAGAUCUGGAGGAAUACCGAUGGCGAAGGCAGCCAUCUGGCCUAAUACUGACGCUGAGGUACGAAAGCAUGGGGAGCAAACAGGAUUAGAUACCCCCGUAGUCCCUGUCUCUUAUAC
rnacentral:rRNA from 1 species